AGGGCAAGGAAAAGCAUUAUCAGUUUCAUCAAUGUCUUAAUCCUUAUCUUUUUCAUUAAACACACCUCAGCUAAACUACUGCAACUGGAAACCGGAUUGCUGUAAACAGGAGGGAUGUUUGAGUCUGAGGAGGGGAAAAUGAUGAGCGAUUUCUUUCCAUCUCCAGGAAAUUUGUUGCAGCCCAAACAUUUGCUGGUGUUCACUAAAGGAGAAAGCUUUUAGAAGCUGAACACAAAUGGGGCAUCAGAGUGCUUGGCAUUUGUGCUGAGGCAGAGCAAUUACUGGAUGUGUUCUCCUGUUUUCUGACAGUGCAUGAGAAACAACGAGUCCACAGGAAAGCCUUAAGGCUUUGUAGAGGAACCACCACUGUCAAGAGGAAUAGAGCUGUGCUCCAGCUGGACCAGGAAUACAACCUGAGAGACAGAGAGAACAGAGCCGACCGGUUCUCCAACACUGUAGACUCCUCCACUGUCAGAAACAAAUCGGUGCAUCAUGGUCCUCCACAUUCCCUGGCAACUGCAGGUAAACAUUUUGUUAGGUAAUGGUUAUGGUUCCCAGUCUGUGUGGUUUUUAGUGUGUGCAGAAUUUACUCAAUAGGCUAAAUACUAAUAAUUCAAGCAAUUCAUGUUUAAUUUGCAAAGUGAAAUACAGAACAUUCUGUUCAUCAGAUGUGAAAUACAGUUUUUUUUUUCAGCAACUCUAACACAGA
rnacentral:lncRNA from 1 species